rnacentral:rRNA from 1 species
CAACGCCGCGUGGGUGACGAAGGCCUUCGGGUUGUAAAGCCCUUUUCUGAGGGAAGAUGAUGACGGUACCUCAGGAAGAAGCACCGGCUAACUACGUGC